rnacentral:rRNA from 1 species
CCUACGGGAGGCAGCAGUGAGGAAUAUUGGUCAAUGGACGAGAGUCUGAACCAGCCAAGUAGCGUGAAGGAUGACUGCCCUAUGGGUUGUAAACUUCUUUUAUAUGGGAAUAAAAUGUUCCACGUGUGGGAUUUUGUAUGUACCAUAUGAAUAAGGAUCGGCUAACUCCGUGCCAGCAGCCGCGGUAAUACGGAGGAUCCGAGCGUUAUCCGGAUUUAUUGGGUUUAAAGGGAGCGUAGGUGGAUUGUUAAGUCAGUUGUGAAAGUUUGCGGCUCAACCGUAAAAUUGCAGUUGAAACUGGCAGUCUUGAGUACAGUAGAGGUGGGCGGAAUUCGUGGUGUAGCGGUGAAAUGCUUAGAAAUCACGAAGAACUCCGAUUGCGAAGGCAGUUCACUGGACUGCAACUGACACUGAGGCUCGAAAGUGUGGGUAUCAAACAGGAUUAGAUACCCCAGUAGUC